AGUGAACGCUGGCGGUAGGCCUAACACAUGCAAGUCGAACGGCAGCACAGUAAGAGCUUGCUCUUACGGGUGGCGAGUGGCGGACGGGUGAGGAAUACAUCGGAAUCUACUUUUUCGUGGGGGAUAACGUAGGGAAACUUACGCUAAUACCGCAUACGACCUACGGGUGAAAGCAGGGGAUCUUCGGACCUUGCGCGAUUGAAUGAGCCGAUGUCGGAUUAGCUAGUUGGCGGGGUAAAGGCCCACCAAGGCGACGAUCCGUAGCUGGUCUGAGAGGAUGAUCAGCCACACUGGAACUGAGACACGGCCCAGACUCCUACGGGAGGCAGCAGUGGGGAAUAUUGGACAAAGGGCGCAAGCCUGAUCCAGCCAUACCGCGUGGGUGAAGAAGGCCUUCGGGUUGUAAAGCCCUUUUGUUGGGAAAGAAAAGCAGCAGGUUAAUACCCCGCUGUUCUGACGGUACCCAAAGAAUAAGUACCGGCUAACUUCGUG
rnacentral:rRNA from 1 species